rnacentral:rRNA from 1 species
GAUGAACGCUGGCGGCGCGCCUAACACAUGCAAGUCGAACGAUUAAAGCACCUUCGGGUGUGUAUAAAGUGGCGAACGGCUGAGUAACACGUGGGCAACCUGCCCCUUUCAUUGGGAUAGCCACGGGAAACCGUGGAUAAUACCGAAUACCUCGAGACUUCCGCAUGGAAGACUCGAGAAAGCUCCGGCGGAGAGGGAUGGGCCCGCGGCCUGUUAGCUUGUUGGUGGGGUAACGGCCUACCAAGGCAAUGAUGGGUAGCUGGGUUGAGAGACCGACCAGCCAGAUUGGGACUGAGACACGGCCCAGACUCCUACGGGAGGCAGCAGUGGGGAAUCUUGCACAAUGGGCGAAAGCCUGAUGCAGCGACGCCGCGUGCGGGAUGAAGGCCUUCGGGUUGUAAACCGCUUUCAGCAGGGACGAGGCGAAAGUGACGGUACCUGCAGAAGAAGCCCCGGCUAACUACGUG